GGACUUGCCGGCGGUGCCUCCGAGGGCUCGCAGCGGUAACUCGAACACGCCGUAAUCGACUCCUGCGAACCGGCUCCCUCCUUCAGACAUUCCUCCUUGUCCAGGACGCGGUCUUGCUGAGCUAGGGCGCCUGGGGGACCAGGUAGGACCAGGAAGCCACUCCCGACCUUUGCCCGGCCGUCUCUGUCUUCACUCGGACUGCACUUUCUAAAGCUGCUCCGAGUUUCUCACGUUGAUGGGGGAAACAGCUGGGGAGCAGGGCUUUGCUGUGAGGGGAAAGGGUGGGCAGGGUAGAGGAACCUCUGCCCCCAAGGUGCCAAUAAAAUCCCCAUAAGAUUAGGUGGGAGCGUAUUUAUUGCUCAUCUGGGCUAGAAUUACCUUGACUGACAGCAAUUUCCUUAAUAACAAAAGCCUGUAAACAAAACGUCCUCGACCAGUGUCCCCUCCGUGCAGUGCCGGCAGCAGUGUCUCUCUUUGGGUCUCCAUGGGCUGCCCUAGCUGGGCACCCUACCUUGCAACGUCCCGUCUUCCCCCAUGAAGAACGCCUCCCCUGCUGGAGGGUGGGACCCAGCUAUUUAGAGCUGUCUGUUGCAGGAAGUCUGGGAGGUGACUCACUAAAGAGAAGCCCCAGUUAAAAGUGCUGAUGGGACUUGCUUCCUGCUGCCCCUGAUGGGCCCAGGCCAGGCGGAGAGAGAGGAAGCCAGGGAGCUGCCCUGUAAUCUGGGGCAGCGGUUCUGCGGAGAGACGUGUCCAGGCCUCACCCCCUGCGUUCUUACUCAGCCCGGGCUGGGUGCACCGGGUUCGGCUUGUCCGACGGUCUCUGCCUGGUGACGCUGCUGGGAUCCUCAGAGAAAGUCUUUGAGAAACUCUCAUUUGGGGAGGUCUGUAAAAAGGGAAAAGAGACCCUAACUCUGGAGAGACAGGCCUCUCCCACCCCGCGGUGGCUGGUGCCGGCCCAGGCCUGCCAAGAAGACAACUCACAAAGUCUAGAGCUGGAAGGGGGCCGCGCUGCCUGGUCUCAUCUGUUAUCCUCGAGGCCGCCUAGUGGCCAGGACGCGACACUGUGCCUCCAAGCUGCCCCAGCCUCCAGCCAACUUACCUUCCUUCCAGGUCUCCGAAGGCUCCUGAAGACCACAUAGCCCUGCCCUCCCCACACAGCCGCUGCUUUAUGGGGAGACUGAGGCACAGGAAUGUUAAGUAACCCAUACACACAGCAGUGUAACUCCCUGAUCCCCAGCCAGCUGCCCCCACCCUGCUCAGGUGCCGGACCAACCGGGUGACCACUGGGUCCUACCUAACGAUUUCCGCGGAGCGGGAAGGGGUCUGAGAACCCCAACUGCGACUCACUGCAUCACACCCCUCACACACAUCCUCACUGAAUCUCCUGCACAGCCCAGGUUGGUGGGUGCCCCUGCACCCAUUUCUCAGGAGGACACAGAGGCUCCGCAAAUCUAAGUAACUCAUGCAAGGCCACACAGGGGCUCCCCUUGCUUCCCCCAACCAUCUCGGUUUGGGCUGAACUCAGAGUGAAAAGGAAAGUGUCGGGCAGUGCUAACAGGAGGUGGGACUGGACUGUGGCCGGGAAGCAGACACCUUUUCUUCUACUGGUUCCCCUUCAGGAUGUGGGUUUGUGGGUCUGGCAUCCCUGUGAGCCCCCGGCCUCUCCGUCCCCAGCUGCUCCGCAGAGGGGCUGUCAUGUCCCUGAGCCCCCUCCAAGCUCUCCAGGAAGAUGAGGGCAAGGGGCACAAAGGGGGGCGGGGGGGGCAGGGAAGCAGGGACAGGGUGCACAGUUUGGCUGGCAGGCCAGCCUGGAGGGACCCUGUGGCCUGGCUUUAGCAAGAACUGCAGGGGACACGCCCCUCCCGCCCCUCCCCCCCUGCCCCCAUCCCAGGUCCUUUGCUCUUGGUAUCUCCUCCUCCCUUAGUUUCCUUUGGGGCAGGGGGCGGGGAAUGUAACUCCAGGGCGAAGUUUGAAAUUUCACAUUGCAGCCUGGGGAGAGGGCCCCACAGUCUGUCCCCCCUCCCCCCCCCAAAAAAAAGUGAAAGGAGCCUUUGUGGGCCUGAUGGAGGAGGGAGGGAGGGUACAGCCUGAGGAGCUAACUUUUUCCAUGACUCAGCUCUCCCAGCCCAGGGUGGGCGCUGGAGGUGGGAGGGCUCCACAGGGUGGGCGGAGCCGCCUCCUGGCCCCCGUCAGCCAGUGCCAGGAUUACAGGUGGGCCCCCGAGACAGCCACCCUUGCCGGAUGGGCCACCAGGCUGUCGCCAGUCCUCUCCCACCCCCCAUCCCCAGGGCCAAGCCCCAUCUUUUUAUUUUUUCUUACUGUUGCAACCCCAGUGCCGAAGACACCAAUGCUCACGUGCAGUUGUUUAACCGGGCCCUUUCCUAGUUACGGUCUCCGCUGAGAGCUGGACAGAUCCAUGGGUCUCAAGCCUCGCCUUCUACCUUCUACCUAUCCGGGGCCUGGAGAACUGAAAGUCACUCAAUGAUCACACAGCUAAGAGAUGGAGGUGGGCUUUGAACCGUGGCCGAACGCUCAGCUCUGUCUGCUUUAUGCUUGGGUUUCCCCCAGAACACACAGGAUCGAUCGCCCAGGGAGCUCCUCAAACAGGCAGGUCCCUGGGCUCCUGGCCUGGGCUUCUGGGACCAGCAUCCGGGGUGGGAGCAGUGGGGGAGCAGGAGUCCAAGGGCAGGUGGUUGUGCCAGAGCCUCCCAGUGCUGCCCAUCCGUGGCGCCUCCUCAUUUCCAUCCUGCACGCAGGCUUUCUUGCCCCUCUGACCACCCCCCCCGCCAGGAGCCAUCCCUCCUCUGCACUGAGUCCUCACUGUCCUGGGCUGGUGGCUCUCCUCAGCUCCACAGGCACCUAAUGGGGAAGAAAGAGGAAGCUGGAGGAGCUGGGGUGCCCUUCACUCACUCACCCCUUCAACCCAUCCGCCAGCCAGCCUCCAGCCCUCGACCUGGGCGGCCCCUGUAGGGGCAGACAGGCCACCGAGGCUGAGGCAAGACAGGUGGGAGGGGAGCGGAGCCGUGCGGGGUGAUUGUGUGGUCUGCAGUCAGCCGGCAGGAGCAGGGCUAGGACGCUGGGCCAGGUACAGAGGUCACCAGGGCGGAAAGCCCCGGGUGCCUAGCAACGGGCAGAACUGGGAAAGCAAGGACCUUGCUGCCCCGUGACCUUUCCUCCCCUAGUGUAUCGCUGGUCCUGUGGUUUAGGGCCCUGACCUUUCAUAAAUAUAACUGGUCACGUGGUCCAGACCCUCCCUGACCUUUCCUCCCCUGGCUUGUUGCCAGGCCUGUGGCAGACCUCCUCGGAGGAGGAACAAGGGGCCGGAGAGUGGCCUCGUGGGACUGGCAUGCGGGCCCCUGCACGACCACUCCCUUGAACAUCGACCCCUGGGGACGAGGCCUGAGCCUCGGAUGUGUGUCAGCCGCAGGCUCAGAAAAGCAGCAAAACCACACGGAACGACGCCCUGGUUGACAGACAUCAAUCAAGAUGUACAUUGACCAAUAACCUGUGGCCCUGGUGUGGACCAAUCAGUAGGGACCACGGCCCUGAAAGGACACUCCUGGAAAGCUGAUGAGUACCGUGUGGGAUCGCCCCUGAGACCUCCAGAUAAAUGCCCUCCAGAGCAGGGCCCAGUGCCCCUGUGUCCAGCCCGCCCCCUUGGCGGGGUCUCCCUGCCUCUCUCUCCCCUGAGCUCCGAGCGCCCCUCUUUUGCCUCUGUAACUUGUUCCUGAGCCCAUUUCCUGCACGCUCACUCCUUCUACCUCUGUGACCUUCCAAAUACAC